UACGGGGGGGGCAAGCGUUGUUCGGAAUUACUGGGCGUAAAGGGCGCGUAGGCGGUUUGCUAAGUUGGAUGUGAAAACUCUGGGCUUAACCCAGAGCCUGCAUCCAAAACUGGCAAACUUGAGUACUGGAGGGGAAAGCGGAAUUCCUGGUGUAGCGGUGAAAUGCGCAGAUAUCAGGAGGAACACCGAUGGCGAAGGCAGGUCUCUGGGCCAUAACUGACGCUGAGAAGCGAAAGCAUGGGGAGCGAACAGG
rnacentral:rRNA from 1 species